UUGAGAGUUUGAUCCUAGCUCAGGAUGAACGCUGGCGGCGUGGAUAAGGCAUGCAAGUCGUGCGAUUUAUUUUUAAAACAAAGUUGUGAUUAUAUCAAUACUAAGUAAUGGAAAUGAAUAGCGGCGAACGAGUUAGUAAUACCUUGGUACAUACCUAGAAGAAGAAAAUAACCAGUUGAAAGAUUGGCUAAUGUUCUAUAAUCCCGCAAGGGUAAAGGAGUAAUCCGCUUUUAGAUUGGCCUAGGCCCGAUCAGCUAGUUGGUGAGGUAAUGGCUCACCAAGGCUAUGACCGGUAGGGGGGGUGAGAGCCCGUUCCCCAACGACGAGACUGAGACACGGCUCGUACACCUACGGGUGGCAGCAGUCGAGAAUAUUCCACAAUGGGCGAAAGCCUGAUGGAGCGACGCCGCGUGCGGGAUGAAAGCCUUCGGGUCGUAAACCGCUUUUCCACGGGAAAAAUCCCUCACCCUUCUUUGUGAAAAAAGAAGAAAUUCCAAGUUAUUUCAUUAGGAAGGGUGAGGGAUGAUUGUACCGUGGGAAUAAGAGGUUGCUAACUCUGUGCCAGCAGCAGCGGUAAUACAGAGACCUCAAGCGUUAUCCGGAUUUAUUGGGCGUAAAGAGCGGGUAGGAUGUUUAAUAAGUUUAAUGUUAAAUCUUAAGGCUUAACUUUAAGGCUGCGUUGAAUACUGUUAAACUAGAGGGCGUUAGAGGCAAAUGGAACAGCCAGUGUAGGGGUGAAAUCCGUUGAUAUUGGCUGGAACACCAAAGGCGAAGGCAUUUUGCUGGGACGUCCCUGACUCUGAUCCGCGAAAGCGUGGGUAGCAAAAAGGAUUAGAUACCCUUGUAGUCCACGCCCUAAACAAUGUCUACUAGCUGUUGGGAGUAUCGACCCUCUCGGCGGCGAAGCUAACGCGUUAAGUAGAUCGCCUGGGAAGUACGGCCGCAAGGCUAAAACUCAAAGGAAUAGACGGGGACUCGCACAAGCGGUGGAGCAUGAGGUUUAAUUCGAUGGUACGCGAGGAACCUUACCAGGGUUUGAAAUGUUGGCGAAGAUUAUCCGAAAGGGUAGUCGUCUCACAAGGACGCCAGCACAGGUGCUGCAUGGUUGUCGUCAGCUCGUGGUUUGAAUUGUUCCCUUCAGUGGGGUAACGAGCGCAACCCCUGUCGUGUGUUGUAUGUAUCACGCGAGACUGCCCCCUUUUUAGAUUGGAAUUAAGAAUAAUGAAUAAUGAAUUAUGGAAAAUUUAAAGAACUAUUCUUGUAGUUUUAAAAUUUAAAAAUCAUAAUUCAUAAUUCCAAAUUCAUAAUUCUUGUUUAAGAAGGGGGAGGAAGGUAGGGAUGACGCCAAAUCAGCAUGGCCCUCUGAUACCCUGGGCCACACUCAUGCUACAAUGGUUAGCACAAAGGGUUGCCAAGUCGUAAGGCGGAGCCAAUCCCAAAAAGCUAAUCUCAGUUCGGAUUGAGGGCUGAAACUCGCCCUCAUGAAGCUGGAAUCGCUAGUAAUCGCGCAUCAGCUAUGGCACGGUGAAUACGUUCUCGAGUCCUGUACUCACCGCCCGUCAAGCCAAGGGAGCUGGAAGCGAGUAGAGCUUCGCGUAAGCGGAGUGAGCUCGAAUUCGGUGACAUGGGCUAAGUCGUAACAAGGCACGCGUAGCGGAAGCUGCGCGUGGAACA
rnacentral:rRNA from 1 species